CCUCGAAGAGGAUUUAAUUGAAAAACUCAGAAAGGAUGUCGAUGCCCCACUGGAUCCAGUAGAGCAAGAAGAUGGUGAAGAGGAGAAAGAAACAGAGAAACUGAAAUCUAGGUUUCCAAACCUUCCGUUUGUUCGCAAGGCGAGUGUUUUCAAGGG
rnacentral:ribozyme from 1 species